rnacentral:tRNA from 2 species
GAUGAAGUGGCUGAAGUUUAGGCGAUAGAUUGUAAAUCUUUUUAUGGAUUCAAAUCCCUUUAUCA